CUGUCAAAAUUCGCUUGGUAUUUUCAUCUCUUCUGAAACCUGCUGAACAAAUAAUCUGUGUGCUGCAGGCAAGAGAGCAAGUUUGCAUUGAAUCUAAAAAUGGUGCUAAAAUGAAGUUUCUUUUUGACAGUAAAGCACAGACUUUGAAAAGUUUGCUUAAGGUAACGUUGUGGUUUGGGGUCAGACCUUAAAAUCAGCUAAGGUAGGUUGUAGAGUUAACCCUGGCUACAGCAGCUGAUCACCUAUGUUGGCAUGUUGGCUUUUCAGCUGGUUUCUCAACAUGGAACCAAGUUGACUAGGAAGUAACUUAGAAACCUCCCUAUAACAAUGAACCAUCCCUUUAAAAAAAUUAAUAAUAGCAAUGAUGAAAAUAAUUAAAUGAAUUUAUACAGAACCUUUCAGAGAACUGGAGGUUGCAAAAGUGGAGUAAUGAACUAAAAUAGAAAUAAAAAUGAACUAAAAUUAGGGUGAAUCCCCGAAAAGAGGACACAACUAUGCGGGGGCACGCAUAGCGUAGCUAAUUUUGAGAGUUUUUUGGGUUACGUCAAGAGCUUUUUAUGCACUUCUAACUCAGUAAGUCCACGCGACACUAAUUUAAAACUUCCAAACAAAACUCCAGACAUUUGAAGGAUUUCAUAAACUCCCCCGGACAGGCUGGACAGGCCGGACAGCUCCCCCAAAAAGAGGACAUGUCCAGGUAAAAGAGGACUUAUGGUCACCCUACUAAAAAUAAAAUGAAAUAAGACCAAGACCAGUGGAGGUGGAUGAAGGAUGGGGUAAUGUGCUGCCAGGGUUCUCUACUGCACCAAAGCCUGGUAGGGCUUGAGACUAUGUUGGUGGGUGAAUUGUCCCACACCAUGGUUGACUGCUGCUUUGGGGAAGUGAGAGUUGCCAAUGGUGAUGGACUGUUCUCUAUGUGAAAGAUAGGGCUGAUACCACUAGAGAGCUGUUCCUAUGAUGCCACGGUAUGAAGGAUUAAUUGUGAAGAGAUCGAGGAGAAUGAGAAUGCUAAUGUUUUCAGAAUCUGCAAAAGUAAGGAGAUGAUUCAUGAUUCAUGAUUUUGAUCAGGGUGGUUUCUUUGCUGUGGUGUAUAUAGAAUGUAUUGUAGAUGCCUUAUGGAAACAACACAACUCAAGAUCAACACAAGUUGAUCUCUUGUCAUGGACAUGGUUUAAUUCCCUUCCUUUCUAAACACAGGGAGCUUGUUCCUUUGUGGGCAAAACAUUUCUGAAGUGUGGGUUCCCUUUGUGUCCAACCACACACUUCCUACUAUCCAAAUACUGUCACAAUAUGGAGGCACUGAAUCACUCAAGAGAAAGCACUCUGGGAAUAAAAGAACGAGGAAGGUGCGGGGAGUGGAUGAGCCUUACUGGGUAUCAUGAGCACAACCUUCAGAGGGAAGAAAAAUGGAGGGAAUAACUUUGAUUUAAUGGCUGCUUUCAAAUCCAUAGCUUUUGUUGUACAUGGAAAGAAAAUGCAUCAAUUAUUUGCCAGUAAAAGUUCAUACAAGGUGGAACAGCACUUAAAGCUGGCUCUAUUUAAGAUCCCCUGGAGAGCGCUGACUAUUAACGUUGUUUUCUUGGAAAGCAAUUGUUAAAAUCCAGAGCUCAGCGCCUUCCACAAAGGUGCUUGCACAAGCUCUGAAUGAAUGUACCCAUAUGUCUUUUCACCAUGGCAGCUGCAGCGCCUGCAAUACAACACUCAUUUCCAGCAAUUUACUGAGCUGUCUUCAUGAUGAUAAGCACUUAUCUAUAGCAGGAAAGGUGGAUUAUGGGGAUUUUAAGAGAGAAAGUUGCCAUAAAACAAACACUUUGAACUGCAAAGAAGAACUACAACCUACCUCUGAAAGGUGGACAUAAAGAAAAACCUGACUUUUAUUUCUUUGCUGCAGUUUUAUCCAAACAUUUUAUGAUUGGAUAAUAAAAGGAUGAUUGGACUGGAAUGUGUUCUCAUUGUGUUGAGGAUAAAUUGGCACAAACUGUUCGGAAAACAAUCCAAAUACGGCUGGCUGAAGCUGCCCAGUUCAAUGUCUGUUCAUGAAAACUUGGCUGGCAUUCCUGUUCAGUCUGGUUAUAUCAGCCUUGGUGGGUGGGUGCAUGUUUUGAGCACUUGCAAGCAUGUGUCAAUGUGAUUGUUCACGUGUGUGUUUUCUCAAAAAAAGCCAGAGGGUCAGGGAACAGAUUGCACAGGGCGGCUUGUAUCAGCCCACUGCUGCCAACCAAAGCCAGCAGUGGAACAGUGGAGCCCUCUUUUGCUUCAAUCUUCCUCAUAUCCGAUCAAGGCGGAGCAGCCCGACGAGCGGCUCCAUUCUUUCCGCAGAGUAAACUCUCACCUCCUGUUCACUGAAGCAAAUAUAAACCGUCAGGAUGAAAACAACAGAGCAGGUUAUUUGUUUCUCAAACGCACUUUUUUUCUUUAGUCCUUUUCUGUCUGCUGGAAAAGUACCCAAGUCCUUCAAAGGAGAAAAUGAAAGUGAUGUUUUGAGUCUAUAUUUCCCUGUCGGAGCUGAUUGCCAUAAAUCUGGGAAAUAGUCAGGACAUGAAUAAGAGGUAAUUUGAGAGGAUAUAACGAUAAAAAUCUUACAAUGGGGUUAUUUGUUUGUUCAAAGUUGUGCAAAUAAAAUCAGUGGGAGUCAUUAGCUGGGAAGACCCCAAUCUGCGGGACAGGUCAUCUUAAACGGUUAUACACGCAACCUCUGGGAUCAGCUGCCAUUCUGACCAGGCUUCCUGACAUUGUUAGAAUCACUGCUGAUGCAUUUCCUCACACCGUUGGUGAAGCUGCAUGCAGCUGGUCCCACACAAAGAAGGAUCUCAUAGUUUGGUGAAUGGAUUUAUACGCACGCAGCUGGGAGACACAACAGUGUAGAAGCUUUCAAACUGUUUGGAAAUCAAGGUGUCACCAGGUGGCUUGUUGUAGCAAUGAAAAGCAAAGUGUCAUGCCCACAGUCAAUCAAUCCUGGUGAAUUUGUAUGGCAGCAAAGUACUUUUUUAGGAGGGAGACACCUUGAGAAGAAACAGACUCAUGGUGAACAUCUAUCUGCUAGGUUUAGAUGGGCCAAGACAUUGGGAUACAGAGAAA